AAUUAGACAUGAGACCAGACGUGAGAACCACACAGAACUUACAGCUCUAGGACCCCCUAAGUAAGGAAGGUCAUCAGCCUAAUGGAGCAAGUCCAAAGGACAUCACCAAGUUGAUCAGAGGAAUGGAGCACCUCUCCUACUAGGAAAGGCUGAAAAAACUGAGAUUGUUCAGUCUGGAGAGGAGAAGGUUCAGGGAGACCUUAUAACACCCUCCACUAACUAAAGGGGGCUACUGGAAAGCUGAAGAGGGAUUAUUUUUCAAGGGCAUGUGGUGACAGGACAAGGAGGAAUGGCUUUAAAUUAAAAGAGAGUACAUUUAGAUUAGCUAUUGGGAAGAAAUUCUUUACUGUGAGAGUGGUGAGAUACAGACACAGGUAUCUACAGAGAAAUUGUAGAUCCCUCCUCGUUGGAAGUGUUCAAGGACAGUUUGGAUGCAGUUUUGAGCAACUUGGUCUAUUGGAAGGUGUCCCUUCCUCUGACUAGAGAAGAAACUACAAUGUCUUGAAAGUCUCUUCCAACCCAAACCAUUCUUGGUUUGGGUUCUUUGAUUCUUUGAAAUGGUUCUUUGAUUCCAUGGUUCUUUGAUUCCAUGGUUCUUUGAUUCCAUGAAACCCUCAUUUGUCCCAGAUUUGUAUGGCUGUGCCUCAACAUAUGCCUCAAAAAUUUUGGAUCUCAGCCGUGUCUUCUAGCCAAUAUGAAUAGAACUCAGCAUGUGACAUGCUAAUUGUUUCAGGUGCCAACAGAAACAAGGAAACGUACGAGUUCCGGUCCCUCUGAUUGGGAUGUAUCAGCCAGUAAGCAACACAAAGGUGCACAAAAAGUACCACUCAUCUUCACUGAAACCACCCAAAUGAAAAAGAAGGUAGGUUUGGUGUAAGUCAUGUUGUAAUCUGCCCACUGAGUGAUGCAGCUUUUAACAAUCCUGGCUGGACUACAGGUGUAUCUAAAAUGGGUGAAAAAAUGGGGUUUCAGUUGGACUGGGAGAUUUUUAAAGCAACAGGUAAGGUUGUUUCUCUGGAAAGAAGGGCCAAAACUUGCUAUUCCAAAUAAUAUUUAGGGCUUUUAUGAUCUAUAAUCUAAUUUAUACUUUUUGAAGUUUCUCUCUUUCCAGCUGAACCACCACGUGUGCCACAUAAAAAAAGAACAGCAAAAAGAAGAAAGAUAAGAAAUUAUCAGAGAGAUAAAAAGCACACCAUUUCAGAACAAGAAUGUAUGAGAAGAAAGUUUUACAGAGCAAAAGGGCUUUAAUGUAUGCCUCAGAAACACAAUUUUUUUUAAAAAAUAGCUGAUGACUUUUAAAAUGUUUUUCAGAGUAUGAAUGAGCAAAAGUGAGACAGACUGUCAUGCUGGGAAUCAGGAACAAAAUUGUUAUGUGCAGCUUUUCCAAAAGCAUCUGGUAAGGGUAUUUGAUCAUUCUUCUGAGUGCUUGCAAGGCUGACUUUCCAGAAGCCCUGAGCAUGUACAAAUCAGCAAAGAAUGAGGAAACACAGUAGGACAUAAUUGCUGACAGAAAGAGAGAAGACAACACCCUGUGCUGUGUGAUCACUUAACAAAAGGGAAUUCUCAAAUCUCGAAGUGAAACCUGCCAUGCAGUUUCGUGGUGCAGUAUCUGUCCUCAACAUCUUGCACAUUAAAGACAUUUUUAAAUGAGAAUAUUAGCACAUGUGGUGGUAACUCCAGGCACUCAGAAAAAAAAUAAUCAAAUUCAGCUCUCCCAUUCCAAAUCACAUUGUGGUUAUGGCCCUAUGUUAAAAAGGUGUUUGUUAUGGAUUCCAGCUCCCCUGCUGUCAAAUCCUUCACUCCUCCUGCACCUCAACCCCAUCAAGGGCUAAAUCCAAGAAUUACUGCUGAAUAAAGUGGUUUUGUGCACAUACAAUGAGUAUUUUAUUCAAGCCAUCUAAGACAUAUUUUACAACAAAUCUUUUCAUUAUCAGAGGUAUUUAAAAAAUGUUUCACCUUUAGUCACACUUUGCAGAUACACUGUGUGUAAUAUUAAGUUUGGUGUUUGAUGCACAACCCUUUUUUUUUCCUUAAAUUCUUAAUUAUUUUUAAACCACCCCAUGUUGCUAAACAUUACCAGUCAGGGAUAAGUAAAUAUUUUUGUCCAUAGCAGAUUUUCAUAAUUAAUCCCAUUUACUAUAGUGUGCAAUUGGUUCUUUUUCAGAAUAGAAAGUAAAGAAAUUAUGUCUGUAUGUGUAAAGGUGCUUUAAAGCAUUUGUUUCUUUAUGGCAUUUCCCUGUGAAUUUGGGGUUUUUUUUCAAGAUCAGCCAUUGUGUAUUUUAAAUGGGAGCUGUGGAUGCCCUUGAAAAUAUUUUUACUUAAUACAUAUUCAUUUAAGAAACUACCUUUGAGAUGCACACAGACCUAGAGAUAAUUAUGCCACUGAUCUUGCAAAAAACAUUUCCUGCAAUUUUUGGUUUUUUUCCUUACAGUCCUAAAAGGCCCCACAUAUCUUGCUUGCAGAAGCAAGUCUGGCUUGCUGAAACCAAACAUGGUACAAAUAGAAAGCAUUACUUAGACUUCAAAAUGAAUGUAAUUUUAAUUUACUUCUCUGCUGAGUUUUGUCUCUUUUGUUCCUGCAAAUCAAAAUAAAACCAAACUCCAACCUCAGUUCCUAGUGAGCACCUCUUCUAGGCUGCUAAAUUCCCUAUUGGCCCAUGAGUUGUUCUUGGAAAUAAUGAAGUGAACUGACCAGUGUCAAAACUGUCUUCUUUCCAGGAAAAUAUAGGAUCAAAGUGACUGAGUUGAAAACUCUGCCUGCUGAUGCAGGACCCAGGAUAGAUUAAUAGAAGAACCCCAUUUCCCUGUGUGGAAAGCCUUCUGUCUGUUAAGGGACACUCCAAUCCCCCACCUUCCAUCCCCACCUCCCAGUCUAAUUUCUAAUAUUAAACCUGACCCAGAGAUGACUCCAUCUGCAAUGUCAUCUGACAAAAAAGUUCUGGGAAGAAAUACAGUUUGUAACCACCUCUUCUGAUGACUCCUUUACUCGUGACUUGACCACUCAUAUUCUAAGAAGUUAAUUUAUCCUACAUUCUCUUCUAAGAAGUGAAUCUGUCACCUUGUCUUGCUGGGGAGGCUGCAUUUUUCUUCUCUGCAGCAGGAAGCUGAACUUUAAGUCUGCCCUACACACAACAGAAGACAGACUCUAUGCUGCACACAGGGAGGAACCACUGGUGUGUCCAUGCUCUCAGACUUGCUUUACAUUGAUUUUGCCUUAUGUGGGUAUGAGAAGCAAUGAAUACAGCAGAAGCAUGAUGAAAUACUUGGCAAUG